ensembl:miRNA
UUCUCCUCUAUCACUUUGGACUUUCAUUUUUCAGUCUCAGAUAGAGAUACCUUGUCUGAAUUCAUACAAACUGUUUUCAGUAUCAAGUGAUUUGAAAGUGAUAAAAACA